rnacentral:misc_RNA from 1 species
CGCUAGUAAAAAAGUGAUAACUCGCUAGUCCGCGUUAUGUACCGUUUAUUUUAAAAUUAGAGGUUCAAAAACCAUAAAUAGCCACAAUUUUGUUAUACACUUACUAAUUAAAUACUUUUAAACGACUUCUAUUAUAUGUGUUACCUCAUAACUUUUUACUGGGUGUACCGAUUUUGAUGAUUUUUAAUUUAAUCGAAAGCCGAUGUUUAUCAUGUGGUCACAUUUAAAUUUCAUCGAGAUCUCAUUACAACUUUUGGAGUAAUCUUUGAUAAUGCGUA